ensembl:snRNA U6 U6 spliceosomal RNA
GUGCUCACUUCGGCAGCCCAUGUACUAAGACUGGAACGAGACAGAGAAGAUUAGCAUGGCCCCCGCACAAAGAUGACAGGCAGAUUCGCAAAGCUUCCGUAUUUUUC